rnacentral:rRNA from 1 species
GACGGGGGGGGCAAGUGUUCUUCGGAAUGACUGGGCGUAAAGGGCACGUAGGAGGUGAAUCGGGUUGAAAGUGAAAGUCGCCAAAAAGUGGCGGAAUGCUCUCGAAACCAAUUCACUUGAGUGAGACAGAGGAGAGUGGAAUUUCGUGUGUAGGGGUGAAAUCCGUAAAUAUACGAAGGAACGCCAAAAGCGAAGGCAGCUCUCUGGGUCCCUACCGACGCUGGGGUGCGAAAGCAUGGGGAGCGAACAGG